rnacentral:tRNA from 2 species
GCCCAGGUGGUGGAAUUGGUAGACACGCCAGCUUGAGGGGCUGGUGCCCGUUACAGGGCGUGCAAGUUCGACUCUUGUCCUGGGCACAA